rnacentral:ncRNA from 1 species
UAGAUAAAUUUUUUAUGGUUUUAAAAAUUUAUUUUGUAUUUAUUUUACAUAUAAAUUUUAGUAUUAAAUUUUAAUUAUUUUAAUAAUAAUUAAUUGUAUACUUAUAGUAAUUAAAAUUAAAAAUUUAAGAAAUUAAGAUUUAGUAAUAUAAAAAUUAAUAACUAAUUUUGUGCCAGCAGUUGCGGUUAAACAAAAGUUAAAUUAAAUUAUUUCAGUAUAUAAUUAAUAACUAAUAAAUUAAAAUAAAUAUUAAAUUAUUAAGUGAAAUUUUAAUUUAAUUAAAAUUUAUAUAAAAAUUAUGAUUUAAUAAAUUUUAAUAUAAACUAGGAUUAGAUACCCUAUUAUUAAAAAUUUAAUUUAAAAUACUAAAAUAGUAAAUAUAUAUUAUUAAAACUUAAAUAAUAUGGCGGUAUUUUAGUUCAUUUAGAGGAAUCUGUCUAGUAAUUGAUAAUCCACGAAUGAAUUUACUUAAUUUAAUAUUUUGUAUAUCAUUGUUAAAAAAAUAUUUUUUAAUAAGAAUAAUAUUUAAAAAUUUUUAAUAUAAAUUAAUUCAGAUCAAGAUGCAGAUUAUAAUUAAGUUUAAGAUGGAUUACAAUAAAAUUAUUUAAACGAAAAAAAUUUUGGAAAAUUUAAUUGAAGGUGGAUUUAAAUGUAAUUUUAAUUAGUUUAUUAAAAUGAUUUAAUAUUAAAAUAUGUACAUAUUGCCCGUCACUUUCAUUUAAAAAUUGAAAUAAGUCGUAACAAAGUAGAGGUACUGGAAAGUGUUUCUAGAAUGAA